rnacentral:tRNA from 1 species
GGGGGCAUAGCUCAGUGGCAGAGCAUUCGACUGCAGAUCGAGAGUUCUCCGGUUGAAAUCCGGGUGCUUCCU